rnacentral:rRNA from 1 species
CCUACGUGAGGCAGCAGUGGGGAAUAUUGGGCAAUGGGCGCAAGCCUGACCCAGCAACGCCGCGUGAAGGAAGAAGGCUUUCGGGUUGUAAACUUCUUUUCUCAGGGACGAAGCAAGUGACGGUACCUGAGGAAUAAGCCACGGCUAACUACGUGCCAGCAGCCGCGGUCAUACGUAGGUGGUAAGCGUUAUCCGGAUUUACUGGGUGUAAAGGGCGUGUAGGCGGGAAAGCAAGUCAGAUGUGAAAACCAUGGGCGCAACCUGUGGCCUGCAUUGGAAACUGUUUUUCUUGAGUACUGGAGAGGCAGACGGAAUUCCUAGUGUAGCGGUGAAAUGCGUAGAUAUUAGGAGGAACACCGGCGGCGAAGGCGGCUUACUGGACUGUAACUGACGUUGAGGCUCGAAGGCGUGGGGAGCAAACAGGAUUAGAUACCCCAGUAGUC